rnacentral:rRNA from 1 species
UACGUAGGUGGCAAGCGUUGUCCGGAAUUAUUGGGCGUAAAGCGCGCGCAGGCGGCCUUUUAAGUCUGAUGUGAAAGCCCACGGCUCAACCGUGGAAGGUCAUUGGAAACUGAAAGGCUUGAGUACAGAAGAGGAAAGCGGAAUUCCACGUGUAGCGGUGAAAUGCGUAGAUAUCGCCUGGAACGCCGAUGGUGAAAACAGUCUGCUGGGGGUGUGCCGACGCUGAGACACGAAAGCCAGGGGAGCGAACGGG